AAACCUGAACUUGUCAAACUGGCUUAUGAUUCAUGAAACUAUCACCAAUUUCAGAAAAAUGGGUGCUUAUAAUAGUACUGUAUUAAAUAUAAAAUGUUUAAACUUGUAAUUUCAUCAUUCCACACGUUCUGCUUUGUAGGGAAGAAAUGAAUGGUGUCACUCGUAUAUGGGCGUAGAUGAGAGGAGGAGGUGUCUUUAUGACGUCGCCCAUGGUAACAGUGAAAUGUUUCAUGUUCUUUCCCUGGAGACACUGACGGAGCGCAAUCUGUGCAGUGGACAGACUUUGAAACAGAAUAGAAGUUCCAGAUUGUGGGCUUAUGGUAGAAAGCCCUAAAAAAGUAAGUUGUCAUUAAUGCAGAUAGUAGAAUAUUUACACCACAUCCCCGGUAGAUCGUUUUUUUUAUUCCAUUUUUUUUUGGUUCAACAUUAUUGAAACGCUAAUAUCAGGGAACUUAUCAGAGACUGAGACAAAUUCUUUCCUAACUCUUUCUAGAAUUUCGGAUAAUGCAUCUGGACAAAUGUGUCAGCAUUUGUUGAACGUCAGAUGUCCCUUCAGAAGGGUGUCAGUAUUCCAGGACUGGGGACCUUUAUUUUCUCACAGCAAAAGCUUGAUGUGGGAAAUGAAAUCAUUUUAAUUUAGAGACCCAUAUUUCUAAUUUCUGAAAAAUGUGCACAAACUCAUGGGCUAAAGCAAACCAAACUGUUCUCUGCAGAGCCCCCCAGCGACAGACAGCUGCUCUCCAGGCAGACAUUAACACCGGCGAGAGUGACUGGGAUCAGUGUGCCUGAUGAUCUGGAGAGGAGCAUAAAGAACACAGCCCAGCAGAGAGGAGCUGUGCUACCUGUGCGUGUAGAGAGCCCGGAGGAAUGUGCCAGUGUACUUCCAUGAGGAGAGGAAGCGCCAGCAAGAGGACGAAGAGAGAGUGCUGAUGCAGUACCAGCAACUACAAGACCAGGCUUACCUAGAUAAGAAACAGGAACAAGCAUUCAACGUGAUGUUUAGGGCCAUAUUGUGCCGUGUCAGUGCAUAUGUUUUAAAACCAAGUUUAUUUUUAGUACUACUCUUACGUUUGAUUGUUUAAAGUUAUGGAUGCAUUACCUGUGAUUCCUUUGAACUUAGUUACAAUUGUCAGCUGCAGUGGACCUGUAUUUGUAUAUGCUUCACAGAUGUAAGACUCGAUGGGUGCUUUCCCUGGACUGUGCAGUAGUGCUGGCUGAUUGGGUGCUAAAUUAAGGACUUGGAUUUGCACUCAAAUCCACUAGCCUAUCCUCAUUGCACAUUUCUUUAUUCUUCUCAGAAUCACAUGCUGGCUGCAAGAGAAAACAAUAAGGAGAGUGCAGCCUACAACUUGGGAGUCUCUGAAGCGAUCAAAGCCAGUAAAACUGCAAAAUCCACAUUCAGUAGCUCCUACUUCUUUCCUAAGGGGCCCUGGAUGCUGUGUUGCUUCCCCAAACAGGAGGAGUACAAGCAGAGCCUGUCCCUGCAAGUAGGGGCGAAAAAGGAGAAAGAGGCCAAGAGUAAACAAGACCAAGUGUUUCUGGAUCGACUCGAACUAACACAGCUAGCUGAGAAGUGAAAUGGAUUUCUUUAGUACAUGCUUCUUAAGUACAUGUGGCUUGUUGGUCUAGGGGUAUGAUUCUCACUUAGGGUGUGAGAGGUCCCAGGUUCAAAUCCCGCACGAGCCCUCUUUCUCUUUCUUAUGUUCUUAUUGAGAUUCUGGGAUUAAUAAACUACUAACAACCAAACGAGCAAGAUGGGCUGAAUGGCCUCCUCUCGUUUGUAAACUUUCUUAUGUUCUUAUAUGUAAUGCAGAUUACAGACAGUCAACAUGGAGAGGACACAAUUCUCUAGUUGUCAACAAAGGAAUACAGAAAAGGGCGGCUCAGUGUAAGCUAAACAUACACACACGUGCAAGCUCUGUCCUACCAAUAUGUUCGAGCCACACUUUACAGGGCUUCCAUUCAAGUUAUUUUUUGCAGGGGUAGCUAUCAAACCUAAAUUAUUUUAAAUAUAACAUAAAACAACACAUCCUACGGUAGGAAUCGGCAGAAACUCGGGUCAGUGAACAAUAAUAAUCAAUCUAAUCAGGAUUGUAUAAUAGUCAUGUUACAAUAAUAGUGUAAAUCCUGC